GGAUUGUGGCUCAGUGGUAGAAUACUUGCCUAGCAUGUAUGAAGCACUGGGUUUGAUUCUCAGCACCA
rnacentral:tRNA from 1 species